GUUUAUGAAAAUUCUGAAGACAUUGCUAUGACCCAAAAGAACAAUUCCGACAAUGUGUAUUCAAAUGCAGCUGAAGGAAAUAAUUUGAGAAGUGACAGUCGUGGCUACAAGAACCAAGAUGGGUUGUUGUACGUUGAAGUGUAAUUUGACCAGAAUAAAGAGAAAGGCAAACCCGUCAUACAUGGUGAAGAUGAGAAAACGGAUUAUGCUACCGUGGAAUUCCCAUAUCCCAAACCCAACAGUGCGGAUAUGUCAGGAGAAGGAAAGAUUUAAACGCAUUUAUACUGUAUAUACAUUUAUCAGCUACAAUUUGUAAUUAUGUUUUGAUUCUUAGUUGAUUUGUUUUAAGUUGCUACCAUAUACUUUUGAUAUAACUUCUUUGUUAUUUUGCUUAUAAAGAUAUGUUAGUUUCCUAUUCUGCAACACUGUUUCAUUUUUCUGUUCUUCUGCAUAUAUAUGACACAUCAUAUACUAAUACUAAAAUCAGUCCAAGAUAAAAUAAACCCUGGAUCAGAUUUCCUAUUUAGUGGUAAUUGAAAGAGCAGGAAAAAUGCUUCUGAUGAAGUUAAGGGAAGAGAAAGAUCCAAACAUAGAAGAGGAAUAGGUGGCAAUGGCCAUAUUGUCCUUUAGAAAAAGACUUUAAAAACUGGUCAAUUGUACUUAUAAUGCAUAAUUUAUAUAAGAAUGUGUGACAAUCUGGUUGUUUGUGUCGUUGGUCAUUAUAUAUAUAUAUAUAUAUAUAACUCCUGUAUUGCAUAUAAUUAGUGGAAACUCAUACAGAAUAAUGCAAUUAAUUGAUCUUAGAUAAAGGUGUUGAUAAACUUUCGUGAUAUUUUUAUUGAUGUUGUAAAUGAAUUACAUUUUUUGCUUUUUAUGUUCUAUAGUAGGAGAUAGUUUUUGGUCUGUCUGUGUAUAUGUCCACAAAAACUUGAACCUUCGCUUAAAUUAAUAGUACUAAGGCCUACAUGUUCCUUUUGACCUCAUUGCCUUGGAGUUUGACCAACUUUAGAAAGAAAUCAACCUUAGUCAUAACUUUUGAAUGUUUAGUAAUAGAGGACCAUUUCACCUAUGUAUUCCUUGUGAUAUGGUCUUUCUUUUGGUAUCAGAAUUGCAUUGCUGUCAUACGGGAGCAUGAGUGGGUUUUUUUCCUCGCAAGAUAUCUAUUUUAUGUAUUAUUUGAUUUCCAUUGCUGUGUGUAAUUUUCUUAUUUUCAUUAGAGCAACUAAUUUAUAUUCUGUUUAUUAUUAAUAAAUGAUUACUAUCAUUUCAUUUUUAUUGCUUAAGCUUGAUUUUAUUUUAAAAGUAAACUACAUGUUCUCUACACAG